GCUGGAUCAGUUCCUACCAGGGCUACUAGACCUGUAUGAGGCCACGGCUGGGACGCUAGCAGGACUGAGCAAUCUGUCUUGAUUCCCCUGAUGGGGAGGCUUCAGUCAUUGGAGAUGGAGAAGACAUGGUGGAACAUCAGUUGUUCUUGAAGAACAAAUCAUUUUGAACGAUAUGAAGAACUUUCCUCAUGCUAUUGCUCUGCUGAUGGGUCUGCUGUCUGCACCCAACAUGGACUAUACAAGAGGCCAGCGCUACACUUUUGAAGUCAUUCAAAAGAUCUUCAUGGACAUUGGUGAGGGACAGUGCUCCUCGUUAGUUCAUGGUCUGAGAAAUACAAUAUAGAUAUUGGUUUGAUUAAUUAUGGUUUUGUCUACAGAACGUAAUGAAAGUAACAUGUAAAGGAAGGAGUCCUUGCCCAAUGUAUUAUUUUUUUCUCCUGAGCAUAAUGGGAGUAAGAAAUGUCCAUCCUGAAAUCAUUUUUGUUUGGAAAAUAAAUAAAGCAAUUGUGGUU